CGAAUUGGAGGUCAUGUUUGGGAUUUCUUCAUUUCCAAUUUCAGCUAGGUAAGGGAUAUUAUUUUAGCAAACUCUAGAAAUUUUAUUUGGGAUUUCUGAGAUUAAGCAUGUUUAUGGAAAUGAUGAUGUGGAGAAAAUAAUUAUUUGGAAGCAUGAAAUUAUGGAACAAGAGGAAAAAAUUAAUUAGUUGAAUUAUAGCAACUUCUUGUCACUUGAAUGAUGUGGAUGUCAUAGUGAUGUUUGGAAGUGAAGGUUAUGUUGAUAAAUUAGUUAUUAGUCAAUGGAUUAUAAAGUGUGAUUAGCUCCAAUUAAUGAAGGAAAAUUUGAGAACUUAUUCAAGUGUCCAAAAAAUUUAAUUUCAAGUUCUAUCAUUAGAUAUUAAGGUUUUUUGAUUAGAUAGAGGAUAAAUUGGUAAUUAAUAUCGUAUUUCAGGUGGUGGCGAGGAAAUUGGAAACGUUUAUCAACCAAUCUAACUUGUAGCUCCUACCUUGUGAGUGGAUAAAACUUAUUUUUCAGAAAUAAGUCUUCUUUAAAUUUUAAAGUUAUUUAUUUUAUAAAGUUUACUUCAUAGCAUGAUUUUCACAAUAAAAUGGAUUUUAUUAUCAAUUGCUUUUAAAGUUAAAUUCAGUUCAGUUAAAUUAUUCUAGUAGCAUGUUAUAUUCUUAUUACAUGUUUCAGUAUAGUUAAAGUUAUUUCUAAAAAUCACCAGAAAGUACCCAUUUAAUUUUACCCCAGUUUGCACUGAUGUGAAUGUGUUUCCACAGUGUAUGACUAAUUAUGGUGAUUUUACUUGCUCUGCACUAUUGUGAAUGUAUUUUCAUAGUGUAUGACCAGAUUAUCAGAGGUCUUUGGGACCCACUCUCGUACACACAUAGGCUUUUACCCCAGUUUACACUGAUGUGAAUGUAUUUCCACAGUGUAUGACUAAUUAUGGUGAUUUUACUCGCUCUGCACUAUUGUGAAUGUGUUUCCAUAGUGUAUGACCAGAUUAUCAGAGGUCUUUGGGACCCACUCUCGUACACACAUAGGCUUUGGGCCGUGUACUAGGGUGAUUAGCCUUUGGGGCAGCUCUGCGUACGUAUGACCAGAUUAUCAGAUUUGAAUGGCUUUACUUUGUACAUCGAGAUUACUCUGUACAUGUGUAAGACUAUUCAUUGGGUACUCUUUAUGGUGUGAUUUUUCAGUAUUUAUUCAGUUCUCAGAUUUCAGAUUAUGGAAGUCAGUUAAUUCAGUUUUCAGAAUAAAGCUUUUAGCUUUUACUAUUGAGCAGCAGCAAUAUUUCAUAUAUUUUCAUGAAUAUCAAAUUCUUUAUAUUUGCUAUUCUCACAGAUACUUAUCUAGAAUUUAGAAUAAAGAAUUUUAUAAUAAAAUCAUGUUUAGUUUUUAAAAGUAUUACUAGAUUCAGAAAUUCUCAAGGAUUUAAUAAAUUUAAAAUUUUUAGAAAAUAUGCAUAAAUAGAAAAAGUUUACUUAUUUGCAAAUCAUCCACUCACUGAGUUACAAACUCAUAUUUUUGUCAUGUUUUUCCUAUCAGGAGACCGUUGAUUUUUGAGAUACUGGGAAAAGUCUGCUGAAGCCAAAGAGACAGUUUCAUAGUAUGUAAUGUAUAGUUGGAGAACUCAUGUUUAUUAAGUACUUGUCUAAUAUUUGGUGUGUCAUGCACUUCGUAGAAAGGUUGGUAAUUGAUGUAAUGCUUGCAUGUUGACAUGAUGAUGUUGUAGAAGCACUCAGUCGAAUUUUGUUAUAUUUUGUAGUAGUUGUGGUGGUAUUAGAGGAAGUGGUGGUUUUCAAAACUUUUGGUUUAAAUGUCUAUUUGAG
rnacentral:lncRNA from 1 species